rnacentral:rRNA from 1 species
ACGAACGCUGGCGGCGUGCUUAACACAUGCAAGUCGAACGGUGAAGCGCCUUCCUUUUUGGUGGGUGUGGAUGAGUGGCGAACGGGUGAGUAACACGUGAGUAACCUGCCCCCUUCUUCUGGAUAACCGCAUGAAAGUGUGGCUAAUACGGGAUAUUCUGGGUCUGUCGCAUGAUGGGUCUGGGAAAGAUAUUGUUUCGGUGGGGGAUGGGCUCGCGGCCUAUCAGCUUGUUGGUGGGGUGAUGGCCUACCAAGGCGGUGACGGGUAGCCGGCCUGAGAGGGUGGACGGUCACACUGGGACUGAGACACGGCCCAGACUCCUACGGGAGGCAGCAGGGGGGAAUAUUGCACAAUGGGCGCAAGCCUGAUGCAGCGACGCCGCGUGAGGGAUGGAGGCCUUCGGGUUGUGAACCUCUUUCGCCAGUGAAGCAGGCCUGCCUCGUUUGUGGGUGGGUUGACGGUAGCUAGAUAAGAAGCGCCGGCUAACUACGUG